rnacentral:rRNA from 1 species
GACGAACGCUGGCGGCGUGCCUAAUACAUGCAAGUAGAACGCUGAAGGAGGAGCUUGCUCUUCUGGAUGAGUUGCGAACGGGUGAGUAACGCGUAGGUAACCUGCCUGGUAGCGGGGGAUAACUAUUGGAAACGAUAGCUAAUACCGCAUAAGAGUAGAUGUUGCAUGACAUUUGCUUAAAAGGUGCAAUUGCAUCACUACCAGAUGGACCUGCGUUGUAUUAGCUAGUUGGUGGGGUAACGGCUCACCAAGGCGACGAUACAUAGCCGACCUGGGAGGGGGUUCGGCCACACUGGGACUGCGACACGGCCCAGACUCCUACAGGAGGCAGCAGUAGGGAAUCGUCGGUAAGGGACGGAAGUCUGACCGGGCAACGCCGCGUGAGUGAAGAAGGUUUUCGGAUCGUAAAGCUCUGUUGUAAGAGAAGAACGAGUGUGAGAGUGGAAAGUUCACACUGUGACGGUAUCUUACCAGAAAGGGACGGCUAACUACGUG